UACGAGCGGCCCAAACGUUAUUCGGAAUUACUGGGCUUAAAGAGUUCGUAGGCGGCGCAGCAAGUAGGGUGUGAAAGCCCUCGGCUCAACCGAGGAAUUGCGCUCUAAACUACUGUGCUCGAGGAAUCUAGAGGUGAGCGGAACUGAUGGUGGAGCGGUGAAAUGCGUUGAUAUCAUCAGGAACACCGGAGGCGAAGGCGGCUCACUGGGGAUUUUCUGACGCUGAGGAACGAAAGCCAGGGGAGCGAACGGG
rnacentral:rRNA from 1 species